rnacentral:rRNA from 1 species
UACGGGGGGGGCAAGCGUUGUUCGGAAUUAUUGGGCGUAAAGAGCUCGUAGGCGGUUUGUCGCGUCUGCUGUGAAAAUCCGGGGCUCAACCCCGGACUUGCAGUGGGUACGGGCAGACUAGAGUGUGGUAGGGGAGACUGGAAUUCCUGGUGUAGCGGUGAAAUGCGCAGAUAUCAGGAGGAACACCGAUGGCGAAGGCAGGUCUCUGGGCCACUACUGACGCUGAGAAGCGAAAGCAUGGGGAGCGAACAGG